GAGACAUCCUGAAGCACAAAGGCAUGAGAUGGUCCACAGAAAGAGUUCUCCAGGGCUGGGAUCAAGUCCUGUUUCCUCUCUAAUCUAAUGCUCGCCAUUAGCACUGACAGAAGUGAACCUUCAGAAUCCACAUGGAUUUCCCAAGAGUCAUUCGUCAGAAAUGUUACAAGAGCAAAGUUAAUUCUGCCUGUCUGCCCCACGUGAAUGAAGGUGGGUCUCUCUCUCUCUCUAAACAAACAAGAACCUUUCCAGAGAGUUUGACCAUCUUUUAAGAUUUGGUCCACACUGUCAGCCCAUUUUCAGGAGAAGAAAAGUUCCGCCCCACCCACUGAUGAGCUGGGAGGCCUCCUGUCUCAGCGAUCUCCUGGAAGCCAUGAACACGCUGGUAUCUUUGCAUAUCCUUCCUCUCCUCCCAGACUCCGUUUAAGCAGAUCGAAAACUUAGUUUCUGAGUCCUGAAGCAGAAAGAGAAGAGCAGUCAGCCUCCUGCAGAAGCUCUUCACAGUCUCCCAGGGAUUUAUAGUCAUGGCCAACGUCUUUGUUACAGGACGGGAUCCAGCAAUCACUCGCAAUCUUACCCAUAGAUCAGUAGCCAAGUUUUACAGGCCAGUUACAAGAAACAGACUGUGGGGUGAUUAUCCAUGGGCUUAGAGUGAGUUGGGCAUGUUUAAGUUAUGAAUGACGUGUUUAUUUCCCCUUGACCCCAAAUAAAUGUCAGCGACAGCUCCAA
rnacentral:lncRNA from 1 species